AAAUUGAAGAGUUUGAUCAUGGCUCAGAUUGAACGCUGGCGGCAGGCCUAACACAUGCAAGUCGAACGGUAGCACAGAGAGCUUGCUCUCGGGUGACGAGUGGCGGACGGGUGAGUAAUGUCUGGGAAACUGCCUGAUGGAGGGGGAUAACUACUGGAAACGGUGGCUAAUACCGCAUAACGUCGCAAGACCAAAGAGGGGGACCUUCGGGCCUCUUGCCAUCAGAUGUGCCCAGAUGGGAUUAGCUUGUUGGUGAGGUAACGGCUCACCAAGGCGACGAUCCCUAGCUGGUCUGAGAGGAUGACCAGCCACACUGGAACUGAGACACGGUCCAGACUCCUACGGGAGGCAGCAGUGGGGAAUAUUGCACAAUGGGCGCAAGCCUGAUGCAGCCAUGCCGCGUGUAUGAAGAAGGCCUUCGGGUUGUAAAGUACUUUCAGCGGGGAGGAAGGUGUUGUGGUUAAUAACCGCAGCAAUUGACGUUACCCGCAGAAGA
rnacentral:rRNA from 2 species